rnacentral:rRNA from 1 species
CCUACGGGGGGCAGCAGUAGGGAAUAUUGCUCAAUGGGGGAAACCCUGAAGCAGCAACGCCGCGUGGAGGAUGAAGGUUUUCGGAUUGUAAACUCCUUUUGUUAGAGAAGAUAAUGACGGUAUCUAACGAAUAAGCACCCGCUAACUCCGUGCCAGCAGCCGCGGUAAUACGGAGGGUGCAAGCGUUACUCGGAAUCACUGGGCGGAAAGAGCGCGUAGGCGGGAUAGCAAGUCAGAUGUGAAAUCCUAUGGCUUAACCAUAGAACUGCAUUUGAAACUGUUAUUCUAGAGUAUGGGAGAGGUAGGUGGAAUUCUUGGUGUAGGGGUAAAAUCCGUAGAGAUCAAGAGGAAUACUCAUUGCGAAGGCGACCUGCUAGAACAUAACUGACGCUGAUGCGCGAAAGCGUGGGGAGCAAACAGGAUUAGAUACCCCAGUAGUC